rnacentral:lncRNA from 1 species
UUUAUUAAACACUUUAAUUUAUAAAAAUUAUAUUAAUUAAAUACUUUAAUUUGUAAAAAUUAUUCUAUUAAAAACUCUAAUAUAUAAAAUUUGAUUGAUUAAAUUCUUAUUAAAUAAUUAAAAGAUAUAAAAAUUAUUGUUGCAAAAAUUAUAUUAACCACAUCAAGUAAAUAUUUACUUGUAAAUACAAAAAACACACACACAAGAGAAAAAAAAAAAAAAACUAUCACUACUAAUAUUAAGAGGGGUAGAAUGUUAUUAAAAAAUUAAAACAUUUAUAAGAAGGGUCACUGUUUCUUUUGAGAAAAGAUGGCGGCCGAAGAAGUUGGUGGUGAUAGUUUGGAUUGGGUUCCAUAAUUAUUUUCUACAUCAUAAUGCAUAAAUUUAUCUCUGUAUUUUUAAGUAAAAAAUAUUAUAGCAUUUUUAAUUUUUAUUUUGAAAUAUUAAAUACAUCAAUUUAUAAAAUUGUACUAAUAAACUGCUUCAGUUUGUGAAAAUUAUUCUAUUGCAAAAUCGAAUUUGUAAAGUUGAAUUUAUUAAACAUUUACUAGAUAGUUAAAACAUGUGAAAAUUAUUGUUUUAAAGAUUAUGUUAACCACACAUCAAGUAAAAAUUUUACACAUAAAUACCAAAAACAUCCAAAAAUUAAUAUUACUACGUGUCGAAGGGAAUAAGAUAUUAUCAAAAUUCGUAAAUGAAAAUGAUUUAUAUAUAUAUGGCUUCCUGUAAAUGAAAAUGAUUUAUUUACUUAAAAAAAUAGUAUAAAUUUAAAUAUUUUAAACUAAUUGUUUGAUGACUUUAACUGAUUAUUUAGCCUAUUACUUAAUUUUUAUACAAAAGUAAAAUGCAUAUGUGCUCAUAUUCUUAUGAGAUGCAUCAAUUUUUUAAUUAUUAUUUAAGAUGAAUUAGUCCACUAAAACAAUCUCUAACUGUAAUUUUGAAAAAUUAUUUUUCUUUUUAUUUUUCACUAUCAAAGGAGAUUUUACGUUUAUUUGCACUAAUUAUAAUUAUUAGAUGUGCAUAGUCAAUAAUUAUAUAAGUACCUGUCUAUAUAAAUGCACUAAUUAUAAUUAUUAGAUGUACAUAGUCAAUAAUUAUAUAAAUAUCUGUCUAUAGAAAUUAAGGGUAAAUAAAGAAAAAUGGCAUCAAAAUGUAACUCAUGGAUGAGAUUUGCCUACUUGGUGUAUAGGACAACCUAUAUAUCAAAUUAAAAAUUUUUUUUUAAAAAUUAUUAUUAUUUUAUAUUUUUCUAGUGAAUGAUUAAAGAUACCUAUAUUAAAAAAAAUUAUUUUCGAUUUAUUUAAAACAUAUGUGGAAUAAACGAAUUCCAUAAAAUUUUGUGAAAUUUGUUUAGAAAUCCAAAAUUUUGUGUUAGGAAUGAAAAAAAAUACUGAUUUGAAUUCUAUGGAAUUGGAUAUGCCUAACUCAAACUCUACUAAAAUUGAUAGAAUUUGUAUACAAAUUCCAAAAAAUUAACUAUUGAAAAUUUUAUUGAUAAAAUUACCCUCAACUAUAAACUCAGCUAUUUUUACUUUUUUUUUCCUUUUUAUUUAUUUUCUUUGAAAAAUUCCAAACUAUAAAAACUGAGUACAACAAUUAUUUUCAAAUGCAAUUAAAAAUGAUAGUAAUAUUCUUAAUAUUUUUUUUAGUUUUGAAAUUAAUUACUUAAAUCAACAACAUCAAUUAAAUAUGAUGAAAUAUUAGUGUACUUAUUUAUAUGAAGUUUAUUAUUUAUAUUCUAAUAAAAAAUGACAAGUUAUUAUAUUGUUCAUAAUAAAUUUAAUUAGUGUUUGUUAUUUAUUUUUAUUAAAUUAUUAUGUCAAGAGUGUUAUAAGAAAUAAAAACUAAUUUAUUUCAAACAUAACUUUGUGGAAUUCAAUUGAAUUCUUUAUUUUAAAUUGUAGCAUACCAAAUAUGACAAAUUCAUUUGCAAAUGAGUUCUACUUGGAAUAAAUUUAUAAAUGAAUUCUACAACCAUGAUUUAUUUGUUUUAAACAGUCUAAUUAAUGUAUAAGUGGAGUCUACAAAACAGGUAUAUAUAAGUUCUUAUAUAUUAUUACGAAUGUGUCCCGCCCAUAAGUGAACGAUUGUAAAUUUAAAAUGUGUCCCCCAAAAAUUUGAAAUGCGUCCCCAGCUUUAGAUUGCGAGUGGGUGCAUGUCUAUAAAAACCCACUUAAGCAACACUUGAAGUACCACACUACUCUUUACAUUCUUUCGUCUUCAUAUUUCAAAAGCUCUCUAAUAUUAAGCGAUGGCUGUGUCUCCAAUCCAGUCGGUGCUUGGAAUGUUGGGUAUUAUGUCCAUGCAACACCGUCAUGCUGGGGUGCAUAUCAGCUCAUUUUAUCCACCUGUUGCACAAGUUUGGAACUCGUGGUUUAAUUAAGUCCUUUACCGCUUCUGGAUGAAGACUGAAAGGAUGUGUUUGUGUUAUCCUUUUAAGUAAUGUUAAUAAGCAUGGCUUUGACUGAUCCACUAUCUCCACUGGAGUGUGUGUGUGUGAAUCUCAAUGCUAUGAGCAAAUAAACUGUGUCUUUAUGUACUUCUAUUUCAUGUGCUCGUAAUAAAUCAGUCUUUCGGCCAAACAGUUAUUAAAUAUCUUUGCUUAAAAAUUUUUGAACAAAUAAUUUGUUUCCUCAUCAAAAUAUUUGAAAUAUAUAUUAAUAUAUAUUUUAAUUCAAGACUUAAAAAUAAGUUGCCUAAAUACUUUAUUUGAAACAAUCGAAUUAAUUUUUAACAAGACACGAAACAUAACUCCAAAAAAGAACAGAAAGUGUAUGUAAUGGUGUUGCAGACUGAAUGCAUUUCUUGUUUUCAAUAUGAUUGGUUAGUCACAACAUGAUAAAAGGUUUUUUACGAUCAGUUGUGGUUUUAGGUUAAUUGAAUUUAUAAAAUAAUUGAUGCAUUUAUCUAUAAUUUGUAAUGUUUUUUAACAAUUCUGUAAAACAUGGUUCUUUCUUAUGAAAUUGCCAAAUUACUAAAUAAUAGUUUCAGUACCAAUAUUUUAUAAUAAGUCCUAAACAUUAUAAAAGUGGUUAUUUUUUUUAAACAAAAGCUAUGGACUUUGGUUGUUCACAUUUUCCAAUGUUUUCUAUUUUUUUAAAAAUUAUUAGAUUAGAGAAUAAUAGCUCCAAUUGCCUAUAUUUUUGUUAAAAGUAGUUAUUUUUUGUAAAAGGAUUAUUCACAAAAUAAGAGUUCAUAUUAUCAAUAUUUUGUAAUAUUAUCAAAGAUCUUGUAAAAAAUGCUUCUUUUUUUUUUAUUAAAGAGUUGUUUAUAGAAUAAUAGUUCUGAUUACUAAUAUUUUGUAAAAUUUUCUAAUCUUUUUGUAAAAAAUAUAUAUAUUUUUUGUAAAUUUAGGUAAAACUAAGUAAAUUGUUAAAUUUAUCCCGACUCAUGCGUUGAUAAAAGGUUGUCCUCCAUCCAUAUUUUUGAUAGGGUUUUAGAUAGGUUCCAUAAUUAUUUUUAUGCAGCACAAUGUAUAAAUUUAUCUCUGUAUUUAUAUGUACAAAAUAUGGUAGCACUUUUAAUUUUUGCCAGUGUUAGAACUUACGUAACGUGGGAGCAAUAUUAGAUGAAAAAAUAAUUUUUUAUAAAAUCAUUCAAAAAUAAUAAAAUUGUAUAAUAAAAUAAUCAUGAAAUGUAUUACAAAAUUGUAUCUCAUUGAGAUAUGUUAAAAGAAAGUUAAAAUGCUAAGAUGUGUUUUCUUAAGUAUCCUGCGAAGCUUUUUACCAAAGUAUGCAAUAAAAAAAACUAUGCAUGGUAUAAUCUAGGGGUGUCAAAAUGGGUUGGUUUGUCAGGUUCGACACCAAUUCACCUAACACGCAACAUAAUUACGGUCAACAUAAAUACUAUCAAUUUAAUAUUAUUUUAAAUUUAUCAACAUGAACACGAUACGAAAAUUAGGCAAGUGAUAGGAACACGAUAAAUUUAACCCAACUAAUAUUAUAAACAAGUUAAGUAGUUCGUGUUGACCCAUAUACAACCCGUGUAAUCCGCUUGAUAUCAUAAACAAGUUAAAGGUCCUUACUGUUCUUAUUUUUUAUUUUUUUAAUUUUGAAUAAUUGAUAAAACUUGUUGGUCCCUACUGUUCUUUUUCACACGUGGCAAUCUUAUAGGCUUACACUUGGCUUCUAUAUAAUGGAAACUGAUUUUCUUUUCUAUAUUAUAUAGAUAUAUAGAUUUUGAUAUAUUUGAUACUUUAAUUUAUAAAAUUAUAUCCAUACAAUAUUUCAGCUUUUAAAAAUUAUUUUAUUGAAAAAUCGAAUUCGUAAAAUUGAAUUGAUUAAAAUUUACUAGAUAGUUAAAAUAUAUGAAAAUUAUUGUUUCAAAAAUUAUGCUAAUAACACAUUAAGUAAACAUUUUGCACGUAAAUACCAAAAACAUUAAAAAAAAUUAAUAUAACUAAUAUUAAAAGGAAUAAAAUAUUAUUAAAAUUUGUAAUUUUAAGAAUAUAAUAGAUUUAUCACAAAGUUUAGAAUCUAACAGUAUAUCCCUAAAAUAUAGGGAUUAAUUUAUAUAUUUGGCAUUUUUCUCCACGUUUUAGUAAGUUUCUGCGAUCUUACUUUCAUGACCACAAUCACACAAGCACAAGAAGCCAAGAAACCAUUAUUCGUAAGAUGCAAGACAAAGCUUUUUCUUCUUCAUAAAAAUGGACACAUAGCACAAUCAGUGUCAGCAAUUUGGGAAAGGAUGACACAAUAAAUUAUAAUUAUCACUCGCCAUCAGCUUUCUAUUAUUUGCGGGACAAGAGUAAGUGCACUUACCAACAGAAGACAAUGUUAAGGUUGAGGAGAAGGGUAGUGCAGUGGAUAUUCUUGCUUUUGCUAUAAUUUCUAUGUUUUGUUUAGGCUAAUUCAUAGCUACAGAAAUUAUCAUCUUAUCUAAAGUUUUUAUUUUUAUAUGUAUGUUGAGAUUUUUCAGAUUUUUUUCAUUUAGAGCAAGCUAGUAUGAGUGUAAAUGAGAAGUGUUUGUGGCUGAGUAUAAUUUUUUGAAUAAGCUAAAUUUUUCUGAAUUUAAAAUAAUAAAAUAAAUUUAUUUUGCCGAUUAAAAAAAUUAAAAUUAUAUGUAGUGGUUGUGGAUAUCCAACCUUUUUCUUUUUGUUUGAUGAGAUCCUGAUAAGUAUUUCUUUCAAAAAUUAUUUGGAUUCUGCAAUCUUCUGUCACAUGUAUUUGUCUUGCAAACCGUAAAAUUUUGAAUUUUCAGUAUUGGUUGCUAUACAUUUAUGAAAAUAUAUUUUCCUUUUUCAAAAGAAAAAAAAAUCUUAUACAAGUAUAACAACAAUCAUUAUCUAUCACUUGAAUCACUUGCAUCCAAACAUCAUUUGAUACUUUGUUAAAGUUGUCUACUUGGUACAACUUAAUUCUUUACCCGACGGCCGUUAAACAACACAUCAAGUAUUUUAUUCUAAGUUGAACAAAAAUGCCGGCUCUGUGUGUUUAUAUAUAUAUAUAUAUAUAUAUAUAUAAUUAAUAAUAAUAAAAAAAAUUCCUCCUUACAUUUCAUGUUUUUAUAUUUGGCCAUGCUUUAAUCUAUCAAUCAGUAUUUGUAACAUGUUUGGCCAUGCUUUAACCUAUCAAUAUCAAUAUCCAUUAUUGCUUUAUGUUCGAUGAGAUUUUAAUAAUUAAGUAUUUCUCUCACCAAUUAUUUGGAUUCUGUAAUCUUGUGUGACACAGUGACUUGCUAAUUGUUUAUGACUUGAUCCAUUCAUUUAUUAGAAGGAACCUAAUCGGCAUUAGUGCAAGAUUAACAUUAUUUCUGCUUACAAUUAAAAUGGCCAACCAAAUAUACGCUGAUAGAGUGUACCGUCUUUAGAAAACAAAUUGAUUAGUGUAUUUUUAAUAUAGUUUUUAUUAGGAUUUUUAGUAUUUUUAAUUAUUUUAAUUAGUUUCUAUUUAAUUUAUUUAUGUUUUUUUUCAAAGUUUCAUUGAAUCAUAUUUCACUUGAUUUUAAGAAAUUUUAUAGGAUUUUGAUAUAGAAAAGAGCAAAGUGAAAUAAAACUCUCAAAGGCUGGCACGUCUUAGGCGUUCAACUCAACACCCCAGUGCGGGAUUGAAGAGAAAUUAACAUAGAGACUCAGAGCGUAGCAUGCCCAAGCCGUGUAUUAAAAUUGUUUAGAUACGGCAGAGAUCUCUCCUUAUAUAAACUUAUUAAAGCUUUUUUAAGUCUAAUUAGGAAAACCACUUAAUUUGCAGAGGAAGAAAUCUAAUCACAAAAGAAAACGAUUAAGUCUUGUAUUUCUUCUGAAAUUAAGAGUCCAAUUGACCAAUUAGAAUUAGAACUCAAAUUAGGUAAUUAUCUUUGCGGUUCCCUUUUUUUUAACUUGAUAUUUAGCAAAUUUCUAAUUCUCUAUAAAAACCUUCUAGAACGAAAUCAAAAUAAUAAAGGAAGCAAAAAUUAAUAAUUAAAUAAAAUAUAAAUAAAACUAAAUAAAGACUAUCUAAAAUAAAUAAAAUACUACUCCCUCAGUUCUAAAAAAAUAAUCUCACUUUUUAUAAUGAAUGCCCCAAAAUAAUAGUGUCAUUUCUAUUUCGGAAAUAGGUUUUUGUUAACUUUCUUAUAUUCUGCCAACAAUUAAUAUAAGUAGACUUACAAAAUAUUCAGUCAAAAUAUAAAUAUAAAAUAAUAUAAAUUAAUUGAAACAUGUGCGGAGAUAUUAAUUUUUUUUACUGAAAAACUCUAUAAACAUUAAUCAAAAAAAUUUUAAUAUAAGGGUAUAAAUGAAAAAGAAGGAUAACUGAUAUAUUUAAACUAAUUUAACUAUUCAUUCUUAAUUUGUAUGAAAAAAGAGUGAGACUAUUUUUUUGUGACGGACAAGUAGAAAUUAUAAUAAAAAUUAUAUUAUAAAAAUUAUAAAAAAUAAACCUAUCACCUCUUUACAUUUCAUGUUUUUAAGAUAAAAAUAUUGAUGGGUUAUAUUUAUUUUGAAAUGUGAUUUUAUUAUAUAAAAUAGUGUUGAUGUUCGGAUUGCUGAAUGAUAAAUUGUGGCGGACUAUAUUAUAUGAUGUUUGAAUACUUGUUGCUCAUACAUUUGUUAUUCACAAAGGGUAUUUCAAUCUUCUUUUAAACUAGUUUUUUUUUUUUUACAACGUGCAUUGUAAGUUGAUCAUUUUCUUUAUAUAUUUAUUUUUUUAUCUAUAUAAUAUCAAAGUAUGAGUUUUGUUUAGAUUAAAAUAAAUAUAAAUGGUUAAUUUGUAUCUACAAACUACUUGUAAUGAAGUGGUCUCAAAACAAAAUUCAACCCAAUCUUUAGACCCACUUCUUUAGUUUCUAAUUUAUAAAUGCUGAUUUUUAAAAUCCUAAUAGGUGCCCAAAAAGAAAAUCAAAUCAUUACUCAAUCUUCAACCUCUGUCCUCAAUCUCAAAUCAAUAUUUAUAUACAACUAUAAUUAAAAAUAAUAAUAAAUUAUUUUUAUUGCUAGAUAAAAGAAAAGAAUUGAGAGGAUGAUCUGAAUUAAUAAUGAAAACUACUUUGGUUACAGUGGUAAUAUUAUUUACCCAGUAUAUUAAAGAAAUGAAUAUAUGCGCAUAUAAACAAAUACUGGAAACCCCCAAAUGUGACCCACACAGAACUAUAUAGUUCUAGUUUUAUUUCAGUUUUGUGGUUUGUUUUGCGAAUUCAUAACUUAAGAUUAUUAACUUAUGAAAACCCCUCGUGAGUCAAAUCAUAUAGUUUCGACAUCAAGUUAUUAUUCUCAUGUAAUUUGUUACCUUUUUCAUAUGAAAAACUCUUUUUCCGAUAGUGAUUAAUGAAAUAAAUCAAUCCAGGGGAAAAAUUCUGCCUCAAAGCAUUAAGUUCAAUAAUAAAUUAUACUUUGAACAAAGAAAAACAAAUCUAAUAUUAUAAAUUGGAAAAGAAUUCAAGCUACAUCAAAUCCCUAGGAUGAAGAUUUAGUUCGACAUAGUAAUUAAAUAAAACCCAAUAAUACUUGAACAAAAUUUCAUAAUAAGUGUGAAUAAUGAAAAGUAAAACAAGAUUAAGAGUUUAGAAAUAAAAACUAGGCAACAUAUAACGAGACGGCUUCCUUGAAUUUUUGCACGAAUCUUGAAUGCUUGAAGUCUUUGAGAGGGAAAAGAAACAGUCGAACAGAAAUUGUCAAAGACCAGAGAUGCCUCUAUAAUAAAUGGCCCCUCUCUUUAUAUAGACUUCUUGGGAGAAAAUUUGACUCUGUUUAGGAAAUAGACUCCUUAUUAAGUAAGAGAUCUUUUUGGAGAUAUGAAACUAUUUAGGCUUUAGAUUUCUUCUCAAUUAGGACUUUUUCCAUCUUCCUAAAUAGGAUUAGAACUUGUUUUGCACAUAAGAAAAAAUCAGAGGUGGGCCCAUGUAAGUUAUAGAAACUGGCUGGCGUUCUCAAUUUAGGACAUAAUCAAAUUUGUAGCAUGGGCGUGCUGUUUUGCACUGUCUGGGCGUGCCAGAGCCUGAGUUCCUUGGUUGGUUCAGCACGGGCCGUGCUGCGCAAUACGUCCAGAGAAAAUUCUACGGCACAUGCAUGCCCCAUAGCACGGGUAGGGCAUGAUAGGCUUUGACUUUCCAGGAUGAAAUGCAUCAUAGCUUAAGCACCCCCUGAGGUCUUCUUAGGCACGGGCGUGCUAAUGUGCACAGGCAGGGCCUGCUAGGGCUUGAAUGUUUUGCUUUAAUUUGCUCUUUUCUGUGUCAAAAUUCUGUAAAUUUCUUUAAAAUUAAGUGGAUUAUGAUUCAAUGAAACUUUGAACAAAAACAUAGAUAAAACUAAAUAAAAAUUAAUUAAAGUAAUUAAAAUUACUAAAAUUCCUAAUAAGAACUAUAUUAAAAAUACUAUAAAAAUAGCACCUAUCAUCUUCAAUAAUGUUAACUUCCCUUAUCUUUUUUUUUUUUUUUUCCAAAUGACCCUUAUCUUAUUAAUUUGAUUUAUAAUAAUUUAUAAUAGCAAUUUCUUUUAUUCACAGUUAUUUUUCAUAUUUUUAAGAGAAUCUUAUAUGAAUCGGAGUGUAAUUAUAAUUUUUGUAGUUAUAUUUUUCAUAUUUCUUUUAUUCACAGUUAUAUAUAUAUAGAUUUUGUAGUUAGUAGUAAACCCUAAACCUCUAUUUCUAGUCUGCUUCACCAGUUAUCUAGGUCAACACUAUGUCCGGCCGAUUUUAUUGCAUUGGUUCCAUGUCUUGUCAGGCUGGUGGCCUUGCCGACAACUUAAUUUGUAUACAAAAGUACCCAUAUUCUUAUGAAUUUUUUCUAGUGAAAUUUAAUAGUGCCGAUGAUAAAUUGGAUUUUAGGUAUGACAACGUGAUAAUAAUUCAGUAACAAUAGGAUAAAUAAGCUCAUUAUUAUCAAUAAUCAAUCAAAUUAUUCUACCUGUUAUUUAAUACCUCUUAAAUAAGCCGUUGUUGCUUGAUAUGAAAAAUAAAUUCUGAUUGAAAGCGUGAGACCUAACAUAAUAGGUUAAUAUCCAUAUAAUAUAAGAAAGCAGGCCGAGCCGGAUAUCUUGGCUUCAAUGAGUUUAUCACUGCUAUGCAAGUUUUAAUUUAGUACUUUUUCUGAAGUUUAUUAUUAUUAAAUUAAUUGUUAUUUACUGAUUAACUGAUGCUUUGAAGGGUAGUUAGUUUCUUUAGCGCAAGCAGGACAUGAAAUAACUCAUGAUCUCUUUUUUAUUGCACGUGCGCAUAAAUAAAUUAAAACAACCUUUAGCCCCAGCCAGGUGGCCAGGUAUGUUUAUAAAUUAUUGUCAGGUAUACCUAUUGUCUCAUUGAAACUCUAUUAUCACUUGAGUACAAAAACGACACGACUUCACUAUUGACUCAAACAACACAACAUAAUGAUAAGUAAGUUUUUAGGUUAUACCGUGUUUAGUUAGAGAUAAUGCAAUAUAAUGUAAUUAAAUAUAUAAUAUAAUAAAAAAUAUAAUUAAUGAAAUAGAAUAAAUUAAGAUUUUAUUAUUAUAUUUAAUAAUGUAAUUGAGAAAAUUUAUAUAAUAUAAUUACAAUUUUAUUUUUAUGUUAGUUUGUUAAUACCUAAUAUAAUUAGCGCACCUACGAGUGGCACAAGGCUGCCUAUUUGAGGUUACAUUGCUGCAACUUUGUAGGAGCGGAUUCCAUGGUUGCAACCUGUUGCGUAUUUUAUUUUAUUUAAGAUAUUAUAGGGGUUAAUUUUAGGAGGUUAAGCGAUGUAAUAAUGCACCCUACUAAUAGAUAAAUUUAUUUAAAUAUGAUUAUGAGAAACGUGAAAAAGAAAAACAAAACAAAGCCUUCAAAUAAAAAUUUUCUACAUUUUCUUUUUGAGGAAAAUAAAUAUAAAAGGUAAAUAGAAUGGUAUAAAACACAGCCUCUUAAGUUUUUGUUUACCUGACAAAUUUAAAUGCGGAGGUAUUAUCUAACAAUAAUUAAGAGGUAUGUCUUAGAGUGGGAUCCAAAGAUGAAAAUCGUAUACUAAAGGAGCCAGCUACUCUUCCAAGAAGAGCUGAAAGAGUGUCUUCAGUUGGAGACAAUAAUAUUGAGAUUCUAAAAAAAUUGGGUCCAAUUACUACUCUUUUAGCCACAUUGGUGGAAAAGAUAGAUAAAAACAUUGAGCAAAUAAAAAAAAAUAGUGCACAAAUUGAAGAGUUUUAGUCUUUUGUUGCUGAUUUGAGGCACUUUCACCAAGAAAUGGGUCAGUAUUUUGAGAUUUUUGAAACAUCUACCGAAGAAAAAAGUUGUCAAAAAAGUAAAGAUGCACUUGAAGGUAGUGAUCAUCAAGUACUCGUAGACUCAGAUGUGACCCAACCUCCUACACAAGAACCAUAAACAAAAUGGAAAUUUGUUAACUUUCAAGAUCUUUUUGCAAGUGAUGAGAUAGAUGACCCAGUAAGAAAAAUUAUGGAGGGCAUACUUGAUGCUAUUAAUGUUGAUCUAGGUAAGAAUGAUGAUAAUAAAUAGGUUAAUGUGGAUUUAUUGGUAGUAAUUCUGCACUUUCUGAUUAUUUUUUAUUUUUUUGUAAGUCACUUUGUGUCCUUUUGUUUUUAGUAUUUGUGCACUUUUCAAUAGUUUUUGGUUUCUCUAUGUUAGUUAACGGUUGUAAACUUUUGUAAGCUAUUUUAUAGCCUUUUAAUUAUUAAUUGUGCCACUUCUAUAAGCCAUUUUGUGUCCAUAUUUUUAGUACUUCUGCACUUUUUCAAUGAUUUUUUUCUGUGUAGUUAACGGUUCUAAACUUCUGUAAGCCACUUUGUGGCCUUUUAAUUAUUAGUUGUACACUUUUGUAAGUCAUUUUGUGGCCAUGUUUUUUGUACUUGUACACUUUUUCAAUGGUUUUUUAGUUAACGAUUCUGAACUUCUGUAAGCUACUUUAUGCCAUUUAAUUAUUAGUUGUGCACUUUUACAAUAGUUUUUUUUUUUUUUAGUUAACGGUUCUAACCUUUUGUAAGCUACUUUGUGGUCUUUUAAUUAAUAAUUGUGCACUUCUGUAAGCUAUUUUGUGGCUAUAUUUUUAGUACUUGUGCACCUGUUCAAUUGUUUUUUUUUUCUCUAUGGUAGUUAAUAGUUUUGAACUUCUGUAAGCCACUUUAUCGCUUUUUAAUUAUUAGUUGUGCACUUUUAUAAGCCAUUCUGUGGCCUUGUCAUUCUUAGUUGUGAACUUUUUCAAUUUCUUAUAAUGGUUAUACUCUUUCGUAAACCACAAUGUUGCCUUAUUAUUAUUAGUUGUACACUUUUCAAAAUGUAAAGUAGUCACACAUUUUGCUAGAGUGCACUUUUUAAAAAAAUUGUGCCUUCAAACUCACCCUAAAACUCGAAUUUUAGGGGAUCACUCAUAUUGUAGACAACCAUAGCCAUUUCUGCUUUAUUAUGUACAGGAUUCAAGUCUAGAGGAUGCAAAGUAAUGGUCAUUUUUGGAUAUUGUAUGACCUAUAUGGAUGUUUUCGAGAGGUAAAUAGAUUUUCCUUGAAUCAGAUCAUCAACUGUAAUUCCAUUUACAUGUGGCCAAUGUUUAGAAGUCGAAGAGUUUGAUUGUAAGCUCAAAAAAUUUGGCUCCAAAUUCUUUUUCAUUUUGGCCGCAAUGUAUUGCAUUUGGGCACUACUUUCUGAAUUUUAUUUAAAUUUGGAGAAAUCAAAUUUUGACUUUUAAUUUUGAAUUUAAAUUGAAAAAUUAUUCAAGUUUAAACAACUAAGAGCCAAAAUUUAAGUUUUCUCUCCUUUAUUUUCGCGUAAAUUUUGGAAAUUUGUUGCAUUCAAUGAAUAAGUUUGAAAAAUUUCCAUUCAUUUCUCAAUCAUGUCAUUACACAAGUAACACAACCCAAAAGGCAUGCGCCUAUUGGGAAAUGUGACAUAAGGACACGUGAAGGUUGCUUUUUCUUGAUCCGUAGGGGCUAUAGGGAUCUGGAAAUAACCAAAUAAUCCAUCUAAAAAGCAAUAAAAUCUAUUCCCUACUAGCCUUUGUAACAUCUGAAUAAUAAAAGGUAAGGGAAAGUGAUCCUUCCCAGUGGUUGAUUUAAGUUUCUAUAGUCGAUGCAUACUCUCCAUCCAGUCACUGUCCUAGUGGGAAUUAAUUCAUUAUUCACAUUUUUUACUGCAGUUGUAACAUCCUACUGAAUCGAAUCGUUGCAUAGAGUCGAGUCGAGUUGGGCCGAACAAGAACCCGGUUCGAGCCAUUUAAAUCCAGAGUGGGGUAGAAUGGGAUGUAACUUAAAUAAGUAAAAGAAGUGGACUUACUUGAAUGAAACAAAAAGAUCAAAGUAUAAGGAGUAGGACUUACUUGCACAGCAGUCAUCCCCCUUUCUUAGGAACUACCUGAACUGGACUCACCCAUGCACUAUCAGAAAUUGGAUAAAUAAUACCUGCUUCAAGUAGCUUUAUCACUUCCUUCUUUUCUACCCCUUGCAUAGCCGGAUUCAACCUCCUUCUACCCCUUGCACAGCCGGAUUCAACCUCCUUUGUGGUCGAAUAGUGGGCUUGUAAUCAUCUUCCAUUAAAAUCUUAUGCAUACAUCAUCUUCCAUUACUAAAGACUCUGUGAGACUCAAAGAAUAUAUCAUGAAUACAUCAUGCAAUACUAGCAGCCUAUAAAUGUUUCCCUACAAGCCCAAACAAAAUACGCAAGCCAGCUGUUAGACUUCAGAAAAUGUAAAAAAUGAAAAAACUGACAAAUACAAAUACCAGAGUUUCUAAGCUACAUGAAGACAAGCAAAAAAUAGUUGAACUGAUACGGAUCGAAUCAAAGAAUGAGAUGUAAGUUCGCCUCUAUGGCACCCCUCGUUUAUAAUGAAACGGAAACACCAAUAAUCGAGAUUAAACGCUCAAGGAAACGGUAACACCAAUAAUCAAGCAAAGAACAAGAUAAACGCCACAAAGAGUUGAUAAGUUUACCUUAAUUCUUGAUGCAAUUAGAGGAAGCAAUCUCUCACUAUCACUCUAAGCAAAGGAGUACAAGCUUGAACAAAUGAAGUUUAUCAAAAAUCAAAAGUUCCGUCCUUACAUGGAAGACAAGUUAUUUAUACUAAAUAAGGAAUCUAGGUUUAACAAAGCAUAAAACACACAAAACACGCCUAAGACACCCCAAGCCUUUAAGUCGAUGUCACUGUAGCGAGUCAAAUUUACUGUAGCAAGUCAAACUAAUUGAAACGGGCACUGUAGCAGGCGUGCUUUCCUCCACUGUAGCAGGCGUGCUUUCCUCCACUGUAGCACUGUAGCAGCGUGCUUUCCUCCACUUAAUAUGCCACCAACAACAUUAAAAGCCUAGGAAUGCCUUCAAGUUCCUCACAACACUUGUUGAAUGCGACAUCAUGAAGUUCUUGUGUUAUUUGGGCUUGAACAAAUAAUGAUAUGGCUGCCCCAUAUCGCUUGGCACGGCUCCUUGUAAUCGGUCCAAUAGGAAGCACCAAUGGAUCUCCUUCGUCGUUCACCAUGCCUCCUUGCGAUCCAGUGACGAGUGAUGAUGGAUCCGUAUCAUGAACAACCCCUUUUCUCUUAAGUGAAAUAUUUUAAUCAAAUCAACUCCAGGGAAUUCCUCAAGAUGACAUCAAGAAGUAGUCUCACGACAAAUCACUGCUUUCUUCUAAUGCCCAAACCCCAAUCAUUGUUACAUACCAACAAUGCCAACAAUUAAAUAUCAAAUCCCUCCCAACUCGGAAGCACCUAUAUAGAUAGCCAAAGGAGUGGUAUCUAUGUCACCUUUUCCCUUCAUAAUAUGCACACACACACUAACUAAUAGGUGCCUUAGAAAAGAAAGUUGAAUAAUAGUUCAUGGCAAGGACAUGAGUGCACACUAAUUCAGUGUUAAAGGUAAUAAAUGUUGAGAAGACUGAACUGAUUGAAGGACAAGAAGAAACUUCUAGCAUCUAGAAUAAGCCUUAUUAGACCAAGUUAUCAAGCUAUAAAGGACACUAGAGUGUCUUUGAUGAAGCUGAGCGGCUACAGAUUAUAAAACUGUAAAGGCCUCAUUCCUGGAUUUGCAGAGGUUUGGGUCACAAAUAAAUCAAGAAUCGACUAAAACUUGUCAUUUCCAAUUUAUCAGGCAGUUGGCACUAACAUAUUGCUCAUAUAGUCAGUAAACUUAAGCAUGAAUUAAACAUCUAAAGAAAACUCAGGCCUAAAUGCAGUACAAGCAAAUAAUUGAAUUGAUUUGGCAAGUUGAUCCAAGAUCUUCUUUACCAAGUUAAAGAAAAAAAGACCAGGAGAAACAAGAAUAAAUAUUCACAACAAAUUCAAGCCAGAAUAUCUACAUUAAAUUAAUAAGAAAACAACAACUUGCAACAUAAAAGUACCUGUAAAGCAUCUUGUUUGGGUGAAGAGGAUAACACCAUUGUGAGAAGUUCAAUGCUAUUUCUUGCCACAUCAAAUGCUUCCUUAGUUUGUUCAGCUGUAAAGCUUACCACGGGCAUAUCAUGCUGAAUCUGCUAAGCAAGAUUUGCAUCCACUUCCGGUGGUGAAACUGUACGAGGAGGGGUAAAGAUACGUGCCAAACUCUCAUUGUCACGACCAGGGAACCGGAUACCCCUUGAUCUUAAACUCUAUAAUAGCAAAGGAAAAUGCCCAAAAUAGGGGGAUAAAUGAGAGGAGAGUUCAAGAAGCCAUGACUUGGUGUUAGCCAAGAAUAGCCAAAUUUGAAACUAAGAUCUAAAACAGCAUUAUAUCAUAAACGAACACACAACAUCCUUGUGCAACUCAAACUAAGAUCUAAAACAGCAUCUAAAACAGCAUUAUAUCAUAAUUCAUUUUGUUUCAUAAUAAAUUAGGAAAUAAAUUAUCUAAUAGUCUUGGUAUUUGUAUCACUACAUGUAUCCAUGGAUUUUAACUGUAAAUCCAAAUUCAAAUAGGAAUAAAUAAAUGUUUAGAAUUAACUUUCUAUCAUUUUGCUGUCCAAUCUUUUGUCUCUGCAACGUAGAAAACAGGCAAAUGGUAGAGUAAACUUUUAAAUAGCAUAAAUAACAAAAGAUUAUAAUUUCACAAGUCAAAGCCAUGGAUUUACAUUUUUUAAGCUAAUAUUUUUAAUUCCUUAACUCUUUUCUAAAUUCAUAGUUAUUAUUUGGAAAGAUAAAUAGAAAGGCAAGAAAAGUGAUAAAAAAAAUACAAAAUUUUGUAUUUAAUGAGAAUCAAAUUCACCUUUAAUCUGCAUUUUAGCGAGUCACCAGCAAUAUUUUUUUAUUGCCUAAACAACCUAUAAUUUGAAAGUGCAGGCAAAAUAAUCAAAAUAACAUGUAAUCAAAGAGUAUGAAGGCAACAAAAUAGCAAAAAAAUUUUAAAAAAAACUCAAUCCAAGAAAAAUAACAACAAAAUAAAAACUCAAUCCAAGAGAAAAGCAAAAAAAAUAAAAAGUUCACCUGAUUCUGCAGUAAUGAAAUAAAAAGAAUAACAAAUACAAAUAAUAUAUAAGUAGAUAUAUGGUUAGAGAGAGAUAAAAAAAAAGGAGCAAUUCAAAAGCUUUCAAAUAAAAAGAUACAUAGCAAAAUAUGAUUAAAUUUGUUAGAUUCUUUCGUCAAAAAAAAAAAUUGUUAGAUUCAAUUUUCAAACAAAGAUGCAAUAUCAAUACAAUUCUUUAAAUAUAAAUAUGAAUAAAUUUUAAAAUAUAUUUUAAUGGCCAAUCAAAUUAUAAAAAUAAAGAAAAAAAAUAGUAAAAAGAAAAAAAAAGCUCAAAAAUUUGUUAAAAAAGAAAAAUAUGAAUACUUAAAAAAGUAGAGAGCCAACUAAGCUUUUGUAAGUUUUUUUUUUUUCAGGAUUAUAUAUAUAUAUAUAUAUAUAUAUAUACACACAUUAUAAUUAGGGGCGAAUUACUUUUUAAUCCCUGAAUUUUGGUGUAAUUAAUAAUCUUAUUCAUUUAUUUUGAAACACAAAUUAAUUCAUAUGAUUGGUUGCACUAUUAAGUUUUAUAUCCAUCCAUGAAACAAUUUGAUUUUGAUAGUGUUCAGCAAUAACUUUUUAACUAUGUUAUUUUUUUUAUAGUAUUCGGUAAUAUGACAUUUGUACUAAUUUUUAAAUGUUAAGUUAGCGUUUUAUAAAAAUGUUUAGCUUUUAAUAUUUUAUAAAAAGCUACUCAAACAGCUAACGACUAAACGCAACUAAAACAAUUAAUAGCUGUCAAAACAAUUAAUUUUGCUGAAGAGAUCCUUUAACUUUUAAUGUUAAGGUAGCGUUUUACAAGAACGUUUAGCUUUUAGUGUUUUAUAAAAAACAACUCAAACAGCUAACAAUUAAAUGCUACUAAAAUCAUUAAUAACUAUCAAAACAAUAAAUUUUACAGAAGAAAUCCUUUAGCAGUCAAAUAGAUAAAACACAGUCAAAAUUGAGGGAAAAUAUUUUGGUGUCAAAAUUAUUUUAUAAAUAAAUCUCAAAAAAGUAAUCAUUAAGUGCUAAAAGAAAAAUUAGAUUGUUAUUUCUUUUUCUUUUAUUGUUUUCACACUGAAAUUAUGGUACAAAGUUAUUGAUACAAUGCCGCAAUUUUAAGCAGACUGACAAACUCAAUAUAACACUAACAAAAUAACACAAUUUUUAAUCAACAACACAAAUACUAUCAAUUCUAUUGUGCUUGAUUGUGAAUCAAGAUGGUAUGUAUAAGUUGUGUGGUUGAAUAUAAAAUAUGGUUUCUGAUUAGGAAGAAGAUUCCACACUGGGAAGAUUGGUGGCAUUGAUAUAAUUUAUGUGAUGACUGGGGACCAAAUUGCAAGAUUCCAUUCGUCACUCUCUUUACUUUUUUGUAAUAUAUACAGUUUAAAAUUUACCUUCAUUGCCUUUUUAUCAUUCUUUCUAAAUUCUAAAUUCCUAAUUAAUAUGCAUGGUUAAUAAAGUUUAACUAAAACAAUGUAAACUGGAUCAAAUCUAAACCUUCCACCAAAUCUAUAAUCUGUUGAUUUCUUUACAUUUUCUGUCAAUUUUCUCCAAUCUCUUACAAUUGUUAGGGUAAAUUUAGUUAAAUGCAGGCAUAACAGUACAAAUACUUGCUGGUACAUUUGAAAUUGAAGGAAUAGUUCAUUACGGAACAGCAGGAAGUGUUAAUGCUUCAUUAACUAUUGCUGAUGUGAGUGUUCCAACUACGUUGCCUUUACGAGUUCUUGGAAAUGGAAGGUAAAACUUUUCAAUCUUCAUUUUCUUUAAUUUUCAAUUUUCUUCUACUUGCCUUUAAUCCACUUGGGAAGUGCAGGAGUUGAAGUCAGGGACAGGGAAAUUGCCAGAACUAAAAUUUGGAGACUUUAAUUUUCCAGGAAAAGGAGAAAAUUUAUUAGCAAAGAUAGAAUUCACACCAACACAGGUUUUUUCGAUUGGAAAAUCAAUGGAGGAGAUGUUUUGGCUUCCAAUAGACUCUAAAUGGUUUAACAUUGCUUCUCAACUUCUGGUUUGCCAUUUUCCUGAUUCAACACAUUGUACUAGAAACCGAAACUCGAUUUUCAAACCUAAACCUAAAAUAUUCUCGAUAAGAAUAUUUUUGACAUUUUGCAGUAUGUGUUUAUUUAUUAAUUUGUUACAUCCAAUUCUGCAGGAAAUAAAUUUAGAACGAGGUGUAAACGACACCUAUUGUUUGGCAGAAGCACCAAAAGUAGUGUUUGGAUUAAGAGGCUGCACUGCUUAUAUAUUCGUUGACAAUGCAGGGUAUAGAGAUUUUCUUUUCAAACAAUUCAGUGUCUCAACAGUAGAUGAAGAGAGUGCAGCUAUCGUCAUGGUUAGUAAGAACUUCUUUUAUUAAAUUAACCAAGUAGAAAAGUUCACAAAAUACAUAAUUAAAAUUGUAAAAUUAAUCAUAAUCAUUAUAAUUUUCAAUGGAUUUUAAGGCUUCUCUGUCAAAUGGAGUGCCUUGUGUUGUGUUUCGCGGGGUAUCGGAUUUAGCUGGUGGAGAACUAAAGCUGGCUGAGACGAGCUUCAGUCCUCUGGCUUCUGUCAAUGCUCUUAUUGCUGCGGUUGAGUUUAUAAAAUUAUCAGGGAAUAAGGUUAAGACUAAUACAUAUGCAGUGCAGGAAAAUUGAAACUAUAAACUCCAUCAACCCCUUUUCUUUUCUUUUCUUUGCUAAUGAUUAAUUAGACUGCUUGUACUCGCUAAUUUAUAAUCCUGUUGCAAAUUAUAAACUAGGGUUUUAUUGAGGUUGCAAUAAUAUAUUAUUCUUAUUGUUACUAUGAAAACAAAAUAUUAUUGACGAAUCAACUCCUCUCGCCUUCCUCUUCAAUUUGUUGGCUUCAAUCAUGAUUAUUAUUGACGAAAUCGGAAAUUCCCAAAAGGUGGCCGGCCGAUUUCCGGUCAAUCGAUAAAUGCCCACGCUAAAAUAACAUCACGUUCGUUAUCCUUGCUCUGAGACGAACUUUCUGAUGUAUGAUUUGCUAAAUUUGGGUGUAGUUGACUUUUCUCACCCACCAUGAACGGCGGCCGACAGCGAUUUUCCGAUCAGAUUCAGAAUAUAUAAUUAGUGUUGCGAUCAGAUAGUAAUUGACCCUUGAUUUAAUAAUUGAUGCAAAUUGAGAAAUUAGAUUGUGAAGCCGAAAUUCAUAGAAAAUGAAGGUAUCGGUAAUUUUCCGACCUUAGAACAGAUUGAGUUAGUUAUUUGUAAAGUAAACGGAUUGUUAUGGCAGGGGGACAGGUUUUUUUUUUUUUUUUUUUUUUUUUUAUAAUAUGGCAGGUGAACAGUUAAUUACCGUUAAACUUGAUUUAGAAAUUGUUUAAUUCAUACUUAUUCUUUUUAAUUAAUAAAAUAUAAAAUAAAAGGGAGGAAGAAAAGAAAAAAGGAAGUGCAAGCAUACUAAGGAUGUGGCGGAGGAGAGAUAUACAGUGAAAAUAGCUUCUGAAUUUUGGUUACAACUUUGGCAACGGAUAAAAUUUCUGUUGCGAACCCCUUUGCAGACUCUCAGAGGAAAACUUCUAUUGUGUUAUAUCUUUAGAAACGGAAAAAAAGUCCGUUUCUAACACGUUCAUAGAACCCUUCAUCAACUCUUGGCAAAGGAAAAAUAAUGAAACAAGAUUUGUUAAUUAAUAAAAAUAAUAUGAUUAAAAAAACUAAUAUAAUCAAUCUAAUUAAAUUAUAUAAAUAAAAUUAAAAUUUCUCUAAUUAGUGGGUCUAUCUCUUUAAGAUAUUUCAUGAUAAUGCUAUUGAGGAGGAAAAACUUAUAAGUUUGUAAUUAUUCGUGAUUACUAAACAAUUACAGUUAAUCUAUAGAUUUAAAUUAUAAGAACUAUAACUAAAAACUAUUCUAUUAAUUUGUAAAUAGAUAAAAACUAUUCUAUUAAUUUGUAAAUAGAGAGAGAGUUAAGGUUAUACUUAUCUCAGAAGAAAAUAUGAUUGCAAAUUCAAUAAUUCCAAAUUAGCAAAAACUUGAUGUAACAAUUCUUGAUAGUCAAAAGCAAUUAAAACUAAAAAUAUAUAUAGUGGUAUGAUAGGACAAGUUCCUAAUUAGAAUGAAUUAAAUUUAUAAUAUUAAUAUAAUAAAAAUAAUAAAUUGAUAUCAUAAUUUGAAUAGAAUCGGUAAUGAUAUUUUUGUCAAUUAACAAACUUAGUAUCGGCGUUUUAGAAAUCUUAUAUUCCCCUCAUUCGUACUUUUAUAUAUAUUAUAAAUUAUAAAUUAUAGAUUAUAGAUAUGGUUAUAAAGAAUUAAAAAUGCGAAAAUUUAAAAUAAAAAUAUUGAUGGGUUAUAUUUAUUUUGAAAUGUGAUUUUAUUAUAUAAAAUAGUGUUGAUGUUGGGAUUGGUGAAUGAUAAAUUGCGGCGGACUAAGUUAUCUGAUGUUUGAAUACUUGUUGCUCAUACAUAUGUAUUUCAAUCUUUUCAUUUAAACUAGUCUUUUGUAUAUGGUUAUAUAUUCAUUUUUUUAUCUAUAUAAUAUUAAAGUAUGAGUUUUAUUUAGAUUAAAAUAAAUAUAAGUACUCAAUUUGUAUUAUAUUUUACCGUACAAACUACUUGUAAUGAAAUGGUCUCGGAAUAAAGUUCAACUUAAUCCCUAGACCUACUUCUUUAGUCCCUAAUUUAUAGAUGCGGAUCUUUAAAAUCUUAAUAGGUUCCCAAAAAGAAAACCAAGUCAUUACUGAAUCUUCAACUCCUGCCCUCAACACCAAAUCAAUAUUUAAAUAUAACUAUAAUGAAAAAUAAUAAUAAAUUAUUUUUAUUGCUAGGCAAAGAAAAGAAAUGAGAGGAUGAUCCGAAUUAAUAAUAGAAAUUACUUUGGUUACGGUGACAGUAUUAUUUACCCAGUGUAUCAGAGAAAGAAAUAUAUGCGCAUAUACACAAAUAAUGAAAUUCCCAAAAUGUGACCCAAAUAGAACUAUAUGACCCAAACAAAACUAUAUAGUUCUAGUUUUAUUCCAGUUUCCUAAACACUAUUUUCUUUUAAUCAAACAGAUUUAGGAUAUAAGAGAAAAAAUAUCAAGAAAAUUAAAAAUGUUUAAUCAUCAAUAAAUCAUCUAUUUAUUGCAAUGGGAUAUAAAUCUCUUAAAAUGAUAAUAGUUACAAAUCAUUCAAUAACGAAAAAGAAAAUAAAAAAUUAUUAUUAAGAAUAAAACUCUUUUAAAACUCAUCUAAUAAUAAAAAAGCAUUUCAAUGUAUAUAGAGAUAUAUGAAUGUAUCAAUAAAAUAUUAUAUACUGUUUAAAUUAAAAUUUUCAACUGUUUACCAUCCCAAGUUUAAUUAUGUACAUUCUAUUUGAAAAUUUAUUUUUUUAAAAAAUACAUCCAAUCAAAUCAUACAAACAUAAAAAAAGAAUAUUAAUAUAAAGAAUGUAUUUUCUUUCUUUUUUUUAUCUAUACCCUAAAAGAAUUAAAUAUUUAAUAAAUAAAAUAUAAAAAUAUUUUCAAAUGUCUCAUUAUCAUAUAUAUUUAUUAAAACAUAAAUUUAGUAAAAGUAAAACUUAAAUUUUAAAUGCUGAAUUGUAUAUAUAUAUAUAUAUAUAUAUAUCAUAUAUAUAUAUAUAUAUAUUUUUAAAAUAUAAAUCUUUUAUUCGUUAGGAGGAUUGAUUGCCGAAAUUACACUGCGAGCUACACAACAAAAAAUAAUCCUCCACUCACCAAAUUGGUGAAAAUACCUUUGGUCGAGAGGAUUCGAACUCGAAACAUCUCACUCCUCACAUAAGUGAGAAGACAAUCAGACCACACAUAAUUGACUUGAAGAAUAAUUUUUAUAAAUACAUCAAAUCAAUUAAUAAAAUGUAAUUUUCUAAUUGACAAUAACUAAUGUUAUUUUAAGAUAUCCUAAAUUUCAUUAAGUUCUCUAUUAAAAAUCUCAUUAUGUUCGAUCUUUUCUAUACUGCAAAAUAGUUAUCAAAGAUCUUUGUUGAAAAAUAUUUGAAGAGAUAAUUUAUUUUCUCAUCAAAAUAUUCAAAACACGAGUACAUUUUUUGGUAUAAUUAACAAGUAUAUUCAAAAUAGUUUUUUUUUUUUUUUUUUCUAGAAGCAACAUCUAAUACAAGAGAUGAUUGAAAAAUAUAGGUAAAAUAUGAUUUUCGCUGUAAUGUUGAGUUUUGACAAUUAAAGUUUUAUUUUUGUUUUUAGAAGAUACACAUUAAUUAAUAUGUUGGUAUAAUUAGGAGUAAGGAAACAUUGCAUAUGUUCUCAACAUUUAAGGGAAAAAAAAGAUUUCUUAAAUACUAUUGGUGUCUAACCCAUUUGGUAAUUUUUUUUCACUUGAUUGUAUCUUACUUUGGCUUCUUCACAAGAACUCGAAUUGAAUUGCAUCAAUUUUUUAAACUCUUCUUCUUGGGCACGGUUUUGAAUUGAAGAAAUUGGAAAAGAAAUUGAAGAAAUUGGAGAAUUACUCCACAAGGCCAUGAAUCCACUUUUGGACCCUCGUAAGCCCGCCGUGCCAUCACCUCCGGCGCCGUGAAAAUUGGUGUUCCACAAGCUGUCUGGAGAAUACAUCUGUCGUUUUGGGUCCCAGCAGCAAGUCUUUUGUUUUUAUAAGCGGCAGCUUGUUAUUUGUUGGGUUGCAACUUGAAAGGUUGUUUUGAGUGCAGCCAGGUGGCCAUUAUUUGGUGUAUAAUUCCCGAAAUUUUGCUUUUUUUUUUUUUUUUUUUUUUGGUUAAAGGACUGAGAUGGAAGAGGAAGAGGUUGAGAUGUAGAAGAUGAGGACAAUUUUGUCUUUUAUAGUAUAUUUAACGGUAAAAGUAGGAAAAUUAUACGGAAGGGCACGAUUGUUCAACGAAGUCAAAAGUUAAGGGCAAAAUAAUAUAUUUCUAAAACCGCGAGAAUAUGCUAGUUAAUUUUAACAAAAUAUGAGGAUAAAAUCAUAAUUUUUCCUCUAUAAAAUUUGUGGCGAAUUUCCUCGGGAACAUAAUCUGAGCUCUAAAUUUUGUAUUGGAAUUUAGUACAAAAACUUUAUAAUUAAAGAUCAUUUUUUAGUACUUCAUUUAUGAAAAUCAUGUACAUAGUUUAUAAAUUUAUAUUAAUUUUUUUGUGCAACAUAUACAUUUUGUUUAAUGUACAUAUCUUGAAAAUAAAGUUCUGCCACCUUAGGAAAAAAAAAAAAAAAUCUUACACUUCGUUCUGUAUAAAAGAAUGCAAAUAGAAUUCACUUAUGAAAGAAUUCUAGAUUCAUUUCUAAAUGAAAUUUUCAAGUUUGGAAUAAAUUUAAAAAUUGCAAAUUCAUUUGCUUUUAUUAGUAAGAUAUCAUUUGCAUCAUAAUUUUAGAAAGCUAAAAGAGGAUGGAAAGUUUUGUCACAAAGCUUGAAUUGUUUAAGCUUGUAUAGAAGAUUUUGUAAUAAAGUUUGAAGGAUUUAAGUUUGUAAAAUUCAUUUGAAAAAUCUAAAAAUUUUUUUAUGGAAUUUAAUUUAGUUAAAUUGAAAUCUAUAGAAUUGAAUUUGUAAAAUUUAAAUUUUUAUAUUUUUCACAACAAAUAUAAAAAUUUGGAUUUAUAAAUGAAUUUCACAAAAUCUUGCUGUGAAAUUCAUUUAUUCCAGACAAGAGUUAAAAGCUAAAAAAAAAACUAUAGUAACUUUUUAAUAGCUGUUUUGGUAGCUGUUAGUUAUUUUAAUAACAUUUAAUUAUUAGCUGUUUUAGUAACUUUUUAUAAAACGCUAAAAGCUAAACGUUAUAUGGAUUAACUUUUUAUAAAACGUUACCUUAACUUCUAAAAGCUAAUUCAAACGCUUUAUUACCGAAAACUAUAAAGAAUGACAAUUAGCGUUUUGAUCGGUCAAAACAUUAAAAAUUACUUUAAAAGCUAUCGCCGAAUACAGUUCUAAUACAUAAAUUUACCCUUGAAAUUUAUGCGAUUUAUCUUAUGAUACUUUUAAAUUUGCAAAAGACUUAUUAUAAUCUUAUAUUUUCACAUUUCAAUAAAAAUUAUAUCUCUCCCAAAAUGAAAUAAGUUUGUAAGAGUUAAAUCAUUAUCUUACAACAACAAACAUUCACAGGUGCAAAAAAGAAAAAGGAGUUGAGUACAACACUAGAUUCGAAUGUUAAGAAUGAUGCAAUAAUUGCCUUCAAUGAAUGUAGUUUGUGGACCACGAUCGUGCAUUAUCCAUCGCACACUUUAAGUGAUAGUACGAAUAGAUAUUUCUACUUUUUUUAAAAAAAAUACGAACCAUUGCAUUUUAUUUGACAUGGGAAUAAAUAAAGAAAAAACAUCCUUUAGCCCAACGAGGUGGCCAGGCAUGUCUAUAAAUUAUUGUUAAGUGAAACGUAAUGUCUCAUUGAAACUCCAUUAUAACUUGAAUACAAAAACGACAUGACUUCACUAUUGCCUCAAACAAGACAACAUAAUGACAAUUACGUUUUUGGCUUAAGGUUAUGUAUAAUGCAAUGAAAAAUAUAUAAUGUAAAGAAAAAUUAGUUUUCAAAUAUAUAAUGCAAUCAAAAAUAUAAUGAAAUGUAAUAAAUUAAAAUUUCAUUACUAUAUUUAGUAAUGUAAUUGAAAAAAUUUAUUUAAUAUAAUCAUCAUUCUAUUUUUACAUUUAUUUAUAAAUAUGUAAUAUAAUUAACACACUACCACUAUUAAAACCAUCACCACAACUACUGUUUUACCACCAUCACCACCACCAUAACAUUCACUCCACCAUCACCACCACCUCAGCACCACUCCACCACUAACCAUGCAUCAUUAUUAAUACAUAAGAAAUAUUUAAACAAAAGCUAUUCACUAUAUUAAUUAAUUAAAGAGCAUUUAAAUUUAUAAAUUUAUUUAAAUAAAAAAAUUAAUAGAGAAUAAGUCUGAGAAAAUAUAAUAUAACAAAAUAAAAGUUUACAUAUUUGGAAAUUAUAUAUUUUCUAAGCUAAAUUCAGCUUUUCGGAGUUUAUCCAUCAAAUAUCUCCUCGCAUGAUAUACGUGGGGUCUCUUAUGACAAUUUAUAUGUAGUUUGUGGACAGAGUGCCCCUCUACCAUUUUGUACUUGAAAAAAAAAAAAAAAAAAAAAAAAAGACUAGUCAGCUUCUGGUACUUGACAUGCAACUUUAAAAAUUCAAUAUCGGUUAAAUAGCUUUGACGUUUUCUCAAUUUUUAAAUAACUUAAUUUUUAUUAAAUUAAAAUUAAAAUUAUUGUUUUAUUUUUUAUUGAAAAAAUUAAUCUUUUCAUUAUAUGAUGCCGAAUUAAGGUGAUAAGCGAUGGCUGUGUCCGCAAUCAAGUCGGUGCUUGGAUUGUUGGGUGUUAUGUCCAUGCAACAGAGUCAAACUGGGUUCAAUAUGAGCUCAUUUUACCCACCUAUUGCAAACUUUGUUCGUGUACCUUGGCGUUGAGUCUGAAAUUCUGUUUAAUAUUCGUCCGUGCAGCUUAUGAAGACUGAAAGUCUGUGUUUGUGUUAUCCUUUUAAGUAACGUUAAUAAGCAUGGCUUUGACUGAUCCACCAUCUCCACUGGAGUGUGUGCGUGAAUCUCAAUGCUAUGAGCAAAUAAACUGUCUUUAUGUACUUCUAUUUCAUGUGCUUUUAAUAAAUCAGUAUUUUCUGUGCUGCAAUAAAGAUUUUUGUUUAAAAAUAUUUGAAGAGAUAAUUUAUUUUCUCAUCAAAAUAUUCAAAAUAUUUGGUAUAAUUAACAAGUGUAACCUUUUCUAGAGAUAGAGCUUAAAAUUUUUAUCCUUUCAAUAUUUACAUUUUUCAGAAAUUGAAUUUUUAUUUUAAUCGUUACAGUAAUCCAAGCCACUUGAUUGUUACCGUACCAACACUUUGUAAUAAAUUGCUCAACAAACACUAUUUAAGUGUGAAAAUUAAAUAUUUGUACAUCUAAUACAAGAGAUUAUUUUUUUUCCUUUUUUUUUUUAAAUCAAAGAGGAGGGAUUAAAACCCAAGAACUACUGCAUGAUCUGACGAAGGCCAACAAAUAGCCCCUACCCUAAUACAAGACAUGAAUAAAGAAGACAAGGCAACAUUACGUUGAAUGGUGACAAUCCAAGAUUUUCUUUAAACACUAUCAAAGUCUAACAGUGUGUAAUAUUUUAUUAUAAAUGACCGAUCUGACGGUGACUGGAAUAGUGACACCAUCAAAGGUUAUUAACAUAUAUAUGAUUUAGAGGUGUAAUAUAUUUAAGGUAGAUGAUGUUCAAAAUACACGAGCCUUCUAAUUUAGCUAUAAGUUAAUAAAUAAAUGAUAUUAAUAAUUUAAUUUUAAAAUUCAUAUACUAUAAAUUGUUUUUUUGUAGUUUAAUAAAAAAAUAAAUUUAUUGUUGUCCUAGGACAAAUAAUUUUAAUUUUAUAUUAUUACUAAAAGUUAAGAGUUUAAACUGUAAUAAUUUCUUUUACUGCGAAAGAUUUCUGAUAUAGCAUAUAGUAACAACGAAUAAUUGAUAUAGCUGACAAUUAAUUUUGAACUAAUGUUCAGUUGUGGCUGUUAUUUUUCUAAGUCAGAAUCGUAAUUAAAAAAGAAAUUAUAUCAAUAAAUUAUAUAAUAAAAAAAAUUACUAGUUCCACAGACAAAUAAUUUAAAUCAUAUUAUUACAGAAAGUUUAAAGUUUAAAUUAUGAAAAAUAUUUUUUUUUCUGCGAUGAAUUUUUUAUGUUAAAAGAAGUCUUUAUUUCUAAAAAUUUAGUAAAUUCUUUCCCUUGAAAAAAAAAAAAGUUCAUACUUCAAAACUUUUUUCCAGAACAGUUAAUAAUUUGUUUGUAAGGGUCUUUUCAUUUUCUGUUGAUUGUGUUGCAAAAUCUCAUGUCCUAAUGGCUUCUGUUUUGUCUCUCAACUUGUGUAUUUCUGAUAUGGGAUAAACAAGUAAUUUCCGACACACAAUGCACAAUAAUGUCGGACAUAUGAUUAUUAGCUGACGUGGAAAGCAGGGCACUGCCAUGGCCUUAUCUCUUCAAUAAUUUUUUUUUUUUUUUUUGUGAAAGUAUCUCUUCGAUAAUGUUAACUUCCCUUAUCUUGCUCUUUUUUUUUUUAUUUUUUUUUCCGAAUGACCCUUAUCUUAUUAAUUUGAUUUAUAAUAAUUUAUAAUAGCAAUUUCUUUUAUUCACAGUUAGUAUAUAUAUAUAUAUAUAUANNNNNNNNNNAUAUAUAUAUAUAUAUAUAUAUAUAUAUAUUUUUUUUUGUAGUUAUUAUUAAACCCUAAACCUUUACUUCUAGUUUGAUUCACGAGUUAUGUCGGUCGACACUGUGUCUGGCCAAUUUUAUAGCAUUCGUUCUAUAUUUUAUCAGGCUUGUGGCCUUGCCCACAACUUAAUUUAUAUACAAAAGUACUCGUAUUCUUAUGAGAUGCAUCAACUUUUUAAUUAUUAUUUAUUGGGCAUCAGAUACCAGUUGCCUCAGCUCUGAUACCACUUGUUGGGCCCUUUUAACCAAUUAAAAGAAAAUUAACGCGGUAAAAAAGUAAACUUGUGACACGCAGAAAUUUAUAUGAUUCACCCUCAACUGUUUAGGGCUACGUCACGGGAUAAACUCUGAAUAAUUCUUCUACUAUUAAAAAUAGUAGGUAUACGGAGACUAAUACAAAAAUAGUGGCACUCAAAGUGUUUCCCAAAAACAUCUCAUAAUAAUUUUCUCACUAUUUUCCCCCCUAGUUUUAGGAAACCCUUUCCUAAAACUAGAUAACUCUCUCUAUAUUUUUUCUUCUUCUUCUGUUGUGUUUUGAUGAGGGAAAACCUUCUCCUAUUGAACGCGUUAAUUACGCAUCCACCGAUUGGAUGCGCUAUUAAUGCGUCCAAAAUUUCAACAUUUUCUUUUUUUUUUUUCUUCUUCCACAGCCUUCUUUGAAUGAAAGAAAGUGUUUUUUUUCUUUUCAAAAUGUGUGUGGGUCCCACAUAUCGGAGGGACCCUUCAACAUUAUUUAAGAUGAAUUAUGUCCACUAAAAUAUUAUCUAAUUGUAAUCCGAUAUUUAAAAUCUAUUAGAACGAUCAUGGUUCUCUCUCUCUCUAAAGAGCGAGAGGUAUUAUCUAACAAUAAUUAAGAGAAAUUUUUUUCAACAUAUAAAUCUAAUUUUUAAUUUCAUGUUUAUUGUUUUGCAUUUCAAAUUUUUCUCUCCUUUCAUUUACAGAUGAAUAUAAAGAAAUUAUUUUAAAUUAUCUAUAUUAUUAAUUAUAGAGUUAUCAAAUCCUUAAAAUUAUAUAUUUUUUUUCGUGGUCAAUAUUUAUUUAAAUUAUCAUGCGAAUUUGAUCAAUCCUGUUUUUUGUCAGUAAGGUAGAGAGCUGAACCAAUAAUUAAUUAAUUGUUACUCUCUCCGUUAUUUUUAUUUAGAGAAAAUUUCUUUUUUCGGUGUAUUUUUUAUAUAGAGAACGUUACUCUAAAUAGUAACUUUGGGAUAUAAGCUAAGUUAAAAAGAUUAGAAAGCCCUUGGAGUAUAUGUGUUUUAAGAUUGAAACUCAACUAUCAAGGAAAGUGGCAAACAUAAAUAUUAUCAACAUUUAAUGCAUGCAUAUUUUAAGGGACAGGUUAUCAACUUAUUUUUUCAUUUUGUUUUAUAGUAACAGUUGUUGUUUUUAUAAAUUUGAUCACAUAAAUAACAGAGUUAAUCCUUAUUUAUAUGUCUUGGAGUGGGAUCCAAAGAUGAAAAUCGUACACUAAAGGAGCCGGCUACUCUUCCAAGAAGAGCAAGAAGAAUGUCUUCAGUUGCAGAUAAUAAGGUUGCGAUUCUGAAAAAAUUGUAUCCAAUUAAUACUCUUUUGGGCACAUUGGCGGAAAAGAUAGAUAAAAACAUUGAGCAAACAUAGAAAAAUAGUGCACAAAUUGAAGAGCUGUAGUCCUUUGUUACUGAUUUGAGGCAAUUUCACCAAGAAACGGGUAAGUAUUCUGAGAUUUCUAAAACACCUACUGGACAAAAAAAUUGCCAAAAAAGUAAAGAUGCACUGAAGGUAGUGAUCAUCAAGAACUAGUAAACUCAGAUUUGACCCAACCUCCUACACAAGAGCCAUGAACAAAAGGGAAGUUCAUUGACUCUCAAGAUCCUUUCGCAAGUGAUGAGAUAGAUGACCCAGUAUGAAAAAUUACAGAGGACACACUUGAUGCUAUUAAUGCUGAUCUAGGUAAGAAUGAUGAUAAUAAAUAGGUUAAUGUGGACUUUUAAUUGUAUUAAUUUUUGCACUUUCUGAUUAUCUUUUGCUUUUUUUAUAAGCCACUUUGUGACCUUUUGUUUUUAGUACUUGUGUUGCACUCUUCAAUAGUUUUUUGUUUCCCUAUGUUAGUUAACGGUUGUGAAUUUCUGUAAGCCACUUUGUGGCAUUUUAAUUAUUAGUUGUGCAUUUCUGUAAGUUAUUUUGUGGCCAUAUUUAUAAACUUCUACACUUUUUCAAUAGUUUUUUUUUCUCCGUGUUAGUUAACGGUUCUAAAAUUUUGUGGCCAUGUCUUUAAUAAUGUCUUUGAAAAAAAGUAUAAACAUGAUUAAUAUAUUUAAUGAUGCCUUAUUUCAUUCUUACUCAUCCAUGAUUGAGGCAUUAACCAUAAAAAUAACACUUACGAUAUUGCAAAUGGUUUUUAUUUUGAAUGAUGAUUUUGAGUUUAUAAAUAUAUAUUAAUUUAAUUUUAAAAAAAUAUGUAUUAAUUUGAAUAUUUAAAAAUUGACAUUUAUUACUGAGUUAUGGCAUAUGAAAUUCAUGAUUCAACGUAUUAAAGUCAUAUUACAUGUUUUAUAAUAUAUAUGUAUAACCAAAUGCAUAAAUAUAUUCAUGUACCUUACGGAAAAAAUAUUGUGGCACCCUGAACUUUGUGAGUGACCUAUUAUGCCCUUGAAGUUACGAAUUUUUGCUAACAAAUGUACAUCUAUCUAUACUAAUAAUAACAUUUUUUUUAGUGUUUUUAGUAUUUAUGUGCAAGAUAUUCACUUAAUAUGUGGUUAGUAUAAUUUUUGGGACAAUAAUUUUCAUAUUUUUCAAUUAUCUAAUAAGUGUUUAAUUGAUCUAAUUUUAAAAGUUUGAGUAUUUAAUAGAAUAAUUUUUACAAGUUGAAGUAUUUAAUAGAUACAAUUUUAUUUUAUAUUGAAGUAUUUAAUAAGCUAAAGUAAAAAUUGAGGGUGCCACAAAAUUUUUUAGGUAAAGUACAGGUAUGAAUUUAUGCAUUGGGCUAUAUAUGUAUAAAUAUGCCUUUAUUCCAAAAAAUCCUUAUGGCACCAUGAAUUUUGCGAAUGACUUAUUAUGCUCCUGAAGUUAUAAAUUUUACUAAUAUUGUAUCCUUUCUAUAUUAAUAAUAACAUUUUUUUUUUGGUGUUUUUGGCAUUUAUGUGCUAGAUAUUCACUUAAUAUGUGGUCAAUAUAAUCUUUGCAACAAUAAUUUUCAUAUUUUUUAACUACUAUCUAUAUUCUACAAUACUUAUUACAUUUGGAAUUUCAUAUAUCUUAAGAAAACCAUUAAAUUUGUCUAAGUUACAAUAAAUUGUUGGGUAAAUUGACUAUAUUGCCCUUAAUUUAAUUCUAAUUCUCUAAGAAAACCAUUAAAUUGAAAUAAUAAUUAUUGGUCAUAUACAAAGGGUAAAUAUGGAAAAAAUGAAUUUAUUACUCCUUGAAACCACAAAUGUGACAAAUAUUUUGGAAUACACUAUUUUCUCAAAUUUGACAAGUAUUAUGAAAUGGAAGUAGUAUCUAAUAAGUGUUUAAUUAAUUUAAUUUUAGAAGUUUGAGUAUUCAAUAGAAUAACUUUUGCAAGUUGAAGUAUUUAAUUUAUAAAAUUUUAUAUAUUGAAGUGUUCAAUAGAUUAAAGUAAAAGUUAGGGUGACAUAAGAUUUUUUACAUAAAGUACAUGGAUGAAUUUAUGGAUUAGACCUCCAGAUAGAUAACAGGAAGUGUUAUGAAUUAUAUUAAUUCAUCAAUAAUAAUCCCUUCUAAUAACAAAAUAAAAUUAAUUAUUUCAAAGGAAAUGUUAGCAACUAUUUACCUUCAUUUUAAAGAAAAUUAUUAAUUUAAUUUCACGGAAACCUCCUCUCAAGGGGUUACAUUAAAUUGAAUACUGAUGGCUCUGCGAAAGGAAAUUCAGCGUUUGGGAGUUUGGAUUAAUAAUUGAAUGUGAUAAUCUAAUGGUGAAUUUGCUUCCACAUGUUCAUCCAUCAAAUAUCUCCUUGCAUGAUAUAAGUAGGUCUCUUAUCAACAAUUUGUAUGUCAGUUUGUGGACAGAGUUCCCCUCUACCAUUCAAUAUCUCUCAAAUAGCUUUGACGUUUUCUCAAUUUCUAAAUGAAGUAAUUUUCAUUAAUUAAAAAAAUUAAAAUUAUUGUUUUAUUUUUAUUGAAAAAAAUAUUCUUUUCAUUAUAUGGUGCAGAAUUAAGGUGAAAUUGUAGCUACUCCUAAAGUUCACUAUGAAAUAAUAUUAUAUUGAAACUAUAUUUGUAAUCUCAAAACUAUAAAGUGUAUUAUUCUAUUUAUAAAAAUUAGGGUCUUUAUUUUCAAAAUGUAACCUAUUAUUUAAUUCUGUACAAAUGUUAAUUUUAUCCAUCUUAUAAUUAUGGGUUGGCAGAAGGUAUCCAAAACUUCUUUUUUUUAGCUAUAAAAUUUUAUUAUUCAACCUUUAAAAGAGAAAAUUAUGAUUUUAUCUCUGUAUUUUGCUUAAAAUAAUUGACUUACUUUUGUAUUUUUAAAAAUAUACUAUUCUUUCCCUGUAUUUGGCCUCUGUCAUCCAUUUUUCAACAAUUUUGCCGUUAUGUAAACCUAAACAUGAGAGUCAAAGAUAAGACGUAAAAUUUUUAUGCCAGAGUUACCUUAUAACAUGAUAAUUUUCCCUUUUCUUAUUAUUCUCUUUUUCAACACAGGCUUCCUGCAUUUUUUGCAGCGCCUUUUGUCUUUUCUUUUUCUUUCUUUCCCAACAAAAUCUUUGCCUUUUUUUGUGGUUUGCCUUCUUUGUAUCAAUCGAAACUCAUUCUUAUCAUCAUAACAUCUUAUUGGGCUUUUUGGAUUUGACAAGAAUCUGAGAUUUCCUUAUCUUCUUCCCUUUUUGGCUUAUCUUCCUCUCUUUCAUAAUAGCCUUAGCCAUUUGGUAUUUUUCUUUUCACUUGAUUGUAUCUUACUUUGGCUUAUUCACAAGAACUCGAAUUGAAUUGCAUCAAUUUUUUAAACUCUUCUUCUUGGGUAAGGUUUUGAAUUGAAGAAAUUGGAAAAGAAAUUGAAAAAAUUGGAGAAUUACUCCACAAGGCCAUGAAUCCACUUUUUGACCCUCGUAAGCCCGCCGUGCCAUCACCUCCUGCGCCGUGAAAAUUGGUGUUCCACAAGCUGUCUGGAGAAUACAGCCGUCGUUUUGGGUCUCAGCAGCAAGCCGUUUGUUUUUAUAAGCGGCAGCUUGUUAUUUGUUGGGUUGUAACUUGAAAGGCUGUUUUGAGUUCAGGUGGCCAUUAUUUGGUGUAUAAUUCCCGAAAUUUUGCUUUUUUGUUUUUUCUGGGUUAAAGGACUGAGAUGGAAGAGGAAGAGGUUGAGAUGUAGAAAAUGAGGACAAUUUUGUCUUUUACAGUAUAUUUAACGGUAAAAGUAGUAAAAUUAGACGGAAGGGCACAAGUGAUCAAUGAAGUUAAAGGUUAAGGGCAAAAUAGUGUACUUCUAAAACUGCGAGGAUAUGCUAAGUUAAUUUUGACAAAAUAUAAGGAUAAAAUCAUAAUUUUUGCUCUUUAAAAUUUGUAGCGAAUUUCCUCAUGAACAUAAUCUGAGCUCUAAAUUUUGUAUUGGAAUUUAGUACAAAAACUUUAUAACUUAAAAGUCGGUAAAAUAUUUAACAUGAUAUAAUGCUCAUUUGUAAAUUUUUAUGAAAAUAAUUAUUUGCUUAAAAUAUUUAUAAGAAUCCUAUAUUUGUACUAAAAUCAUUUUUUAGUACUUCAUUUAUGAAAAUCAUGUACAUAUUUUAUAAAUUUAUAUUAAUUUUUUUUGCAACAUAUACAUUUUGCACCUUAGGAACAAAAAAAAAAAAAAGAAAAAUU